UACGGAGGGUGCGAGCGUUAAUCGGGAUCACUGGGCGUAAAGCGCGCGUAGGCGGCUUUUCAAGUCAGGGGUGAAAUCCCACGGCCCAACCGUGGAACUGCCUUUGAAACUGUAGAGCUUGAGUGUCGGAGAGGGUGGCGGAAUUCCAGGUGUAGGAGUGAAAUCCGUAGAUAUCUGGAGGAACACCGGUGGCGAAGGCGGCCACCUGGACGACAACUGACGCUGAGGUGCGAAAGCGUGGGUAGCAAACAGG
rnacentral:rRNA from 1 species